GGUUGUUCUGAGUGCAGUGGUGUUUACAACUAAUUGAGCACACCCAGUUACAGAUUCUUUUGUUCCUUCUCCACUCCCACUGCUUCACUUGACCAGCCUUGG
rnacentral:Y_RNA from 1 species